CCGACUUUGUUCCAUUCAACAGUUUCACUUGAUCUUUGCCUCUGCAGCUGCAUCACAAUACAGUUUUAGCAAUGGGAGGUGGCUCUUCUUCUCCUACACCACCUCCAGCUCCACCACGUCUUCCUACACCUCCACCUUCUCCUA